UUAUGUCUGUGACAUAUUCAGAUAUAGCCUAGACAUUGAGCUCUGAGCUCAAUGCGCACGGUUGUGGAAGUGUUGCAGUUUUCAGAAAGACAGAAGUGUCUCAAUGAGGCCCUGGCUGACUCCUUAUGCAUGCAAGAGUGAGAGAGGAAGUGGUUACUGCAGUGAAACCGCAAGGUAACCAGCGGUUUCUGGUAGUCACGUGAUCGUACCCCUCCCUCACGUUUUCAGUGCAGAUCCAAAGGCCCUCUACACCAUCAACAGGGCUUUUCGAGGGCCCUCCCCCCAUUUGGGCCCUGGGUAGUCAGUCCCACUUUUCCCCCCCACACCGCCAGCGUUGCUGCUGCGGCGCUGCUACUGCCAGCCCUAUCUUUCUACAUUGAGUUUGCCUUUGAUAAUGGCCAUCAAUAAUAGAAUGUUUGAUUUCAUUUCAUUAUAAUUAUAGCCUACAUUGGGUUUCUGCUAUGACUAUAUAGUACACAUGCAGCCUCCACUUUCUCCUUUAAUAACAUGCAAUUGCUAAAAGUUUUUAAAAAUAAUAUUUAUAUUUUUUUUAUGUCUGUGACAUAUUCAGAUAUAGCCUAGACAUUGAGCUCUGAGCUCAAUGCGCACGGUUGUGGAAGUGUUGCAGUUUUCAGAAAGACAGAAGUGUCUCAAUGAGGCCCUGGCUGACUCCUUAUGCAUGCAAGAGUGAGAGAGGAAGUGGUUACUGCAGUGAAACCGCAAGGUAACCAGCAGUUUCUGGCAGUGACGUGAUCGUUCCCCUCCCUCACAUUUUCAGUGCAGAUCCAAAGGCCCUCUACACCAUCAACAGGGCUUUUCGAGGGCCCUCCCCCCAUUCGGGCCCUGGGUAGUCAGUCCCACUUUUCCCCUCACUACGACGCCCCUGCGGAGAAUCACGGAGCUGGAGAGGAGAAUGCCUGUCCUCCACCAGGUUCAAAAAAG